GUUUAACUUUAUUUUUCAUCAUUCAUUACUUAAACACACAAAAUAAGGACAAAAAGGAUAUUUGAGUUGAUUUAUCAUCAUGCUUACAUCGGUAUCAGAAUCUUGAAUCUUGUAAUAAGGUGAAAGAUUGAUAAACAAACCUCGCAAUUUUCAAUAUGAAUGGUGUUUCUGGAUGACUUUUGUGUAAUAACUUUAUUCAAGGAUUUAUCAAAAUAAUACAAUUACUUCCAGUCAAAUCUUAAUUAUUUAAUCAGAUCUACUCUUUAAUGUAAGUUAAGGGAGGAAGUGCAUUUCCGAUUGAAAGGUGAGUCAAUCAAAAGUGGUUUAAGGAAAGUUAAAUUUGAAUAAGUGAAUAUCAAUGAAAGGAUCCAAAAGGAGUCCUGAAAAUUUAUGGUGUCACCCAAGAAAUCAAUGGUUUGUCAAGAAGCCUGAGGGUAAAAUACGCAGCAAGAGACAACAGCAAUCAAAAAAGGUCCACCAGAUCAACAACAGCAUUUAUAAAAAGGAAACACGAAGACAUGGAAAAGAGGAAAUAUUUUCUCACUCGAUUGUAUCACAAUAUAAUUUCCCACGGGCAAAGCAUCAUCUAGCAGAUUCCUGCCAUAACCCGACUGGGCUGAGUGGUUUGGUUACCCACCCCCUAUGAGGCCAUAUUAAGCUUGGCAGGCUUAGGGUUGGUUGCAGCUAUGAUGCCGUUGAUUCGAGAUAUC